rnacentral:rRNA from 1 species
CCUACGGGUGGCAGCAGUGAGGAAUAUUGGUCAAUGGACGAGAGUCUGAACCAGCCAAGUAGCGUGAAGGAUGACUGCCCUAUGGGUUGUAAACUUCUUUUAUAUGGGAAUAAAAUGUUCCACGUGUGGGAUUUUGUAUGUACCAUAUGAAUAAGGAUCGGCUAACUCCGUGCCAGCAGCCGCGGUAAUACGGAGGAUCCGAGCGUUAUCCGGAUUUAUUGGGUUUAAAGGGAGCGUAGGGGGAUUGUUAAGUCAGUUGUGAAAGUUUGCGGCUCAACCCUGAAAUUGCAGUUGAAACUGGGAGUCUUGAGUAAAGUAGAGGUGGGCGGAAUUCGUGGUGUAGCGGUGAAAUGCUUAGAUAUCGCGAAGAACUCCGAUUGCGAAGGCAGCUUACUGGACUGCAACUGACACUGAGGCUCGAAAGUGUGGGUAUCAAACAGGAUUAGAUACCCCAGUAGUC